rnacentral:tRNA from 1 species
GGCUGGAUGGCCGAGUGGUCCAAGGCGCUGCGUUCAGGCCGCAGUCCCCGUGGGCGUGGGUUCGAAUCCCACUUCAGUCA